rfam:Heligmosomoides polygyrus genome assembly, scaffold: HPBE_scaffold0011649
GGUCCCGUAGUGUAGCGGUUAACACUCUGGACUUUGAAUCCAGCAACGCGAGUUCGAAUCUCGCCGGGACCU